GGACUCUCUGGCCAUCUCUGUGGGUCCACUGGGAGAAUGAAAAGUUGCAUCAUCUGAACUCUUCCUGCUUCAUUAGGGUGGAAUAUGGGAAUGACAGGACUCAGUGAUGGUACUACUUAGAGAGUCUACUUUAAUAAUGUCUGGUUUUCCACCAUGUAGUAUGUUUUGGGAUGCUGUAAAGACAAUUGCAUGUGAAUUUCUUUUUCCUUACAGAAGCCUUUUUUGUUGGUGGUAGUCUUUUUUAGGGCUGCACCCAAGGCAUAUGGAAGUUCCCAGCCUAGGGGAACCACGAAGCNAUAUGCCAUGGGUGCGGCCCUAAAAGGACAAAAGACAAAGGGAAACCGAGUAAGCUGAUUUUGUCUGUGAGGCAGUGCCUUGCUUAUCCCAGAGACUGAGUGUUUGGUUCUCCCACUAAAACCCUAGUGUGAUGUUUUGAUGGCAGGAGCUCCUUGGGUGUGUUUGUAACCUCAGGUGGGAAGCUGGCCACUGGCAGGCUGGUUCAGUCAUUGACCGUGUCUUUGUCACACUGCUGGGGGAGACAGUGCCUGGCAGUUCUGCAUCAUGUUACCCUAGUUUCAGAUGAGAAAAUGGAGUCAGAAAAUAAGUACCUUGCCCAAGAUUGUACAGCUCAUUCCUGCAAAGCUGUGGUUUAAACUCCUGUCUGACUGGAUUCCCUGUAACUCAUGCUUUCCCAUUGUAUCUCACCAAAUCUGUUGUUAUGUGAUAGUUCAACCAGAUAUUUAAAUAGAAAAGCAUUAGACAGAUAAUUUUUCCUGUUAAAAUCCAAAAUUACCCUCUUUUUUUUUCCCCUCCUUACUUUAAAAAAAAAAUUUUAUUUUGUGUUGGUGUAUAGUCGCCUUGCCGUAUUGUGUUGGUGUCAGAUUACAGCAGAGUGAACCAGUUGGACAUAGAUGCACAUCCAUGCUUUCCCCUUGUAGGUUAUUACAGAACAUUGAGUGCAGCUCCCUGGGCUCUACAGCAGGGCCUUGCUGAUUCUGUUUUUUAAGUGAAGCAAAUCAAAGGUUUUCGCUCCAAAAGCUUUCGUGAAACAGUUUCAAGUAGCACAGGAGCAGAGCAGUAGUGGGGCAUCAGAGCCUAAACAACACAAGCAUUUCACUCUGACCAGUGGACUGGGUCCCUGCAUUUUAACAAGCGGACUCUGCGUGCGAAACACAUGCAUGUUUGCCGUGAUCAGAGUCCUUUCCUCACUCAGCCACUUAGGCCUGGGGUUCUUAGGUCCGCACCAGAAGCAUCUGUGGUCAUUUCUGUGACCACAGGCAUCUCGCAGCAAUGUUUCCUCGAUGUCUUGAUGUCUCUCUGUCAGUGUCAGAAGAUCAGACACCAAGGAGCCUGGUCAGGAAGAAGCCCAGUACUUGGGGGUUUUGACUCAACGUUUGGAUAAGUGUGGGGUGUGGUUUAAAUCUCCUAUUUAUUUAUAGCGUUUAGACCUGGGGGUUUGUCCUAGUAAGGGAAGUUCUUAAAGGGAAAGACCAGUUACCGUCUCAGAAGUUCAGCUGUUUGCAAAUUCUGUGAAAUAACAUUAAAAGCUCAACUGCCCUUAAUGUAGUCGUUUCAUUCCUCUGUUGCUUGUUUAAACUCUCAUUUAUCUUUACUUUUUGGCCUAAAAAUACAAUAAACCUAUCAAUUACUUUAUGUCUGUGUUUUCUUUUAUACUGAUAGUAACUUUAAUCGUGUCACUUCAGUUAUGUAUUGCUAUAAUCAUUAGCAUUAUCCUUCAGGACAGAAGGCAUCUGCUCACGGUCCAUGAUUUAACGGUGUAAGCCAGCUUUAUGUUCAGACAUUACGUUCAUGACACUUUUAGCAGUGUGAUACAGUGGAGGUCCAAUUGGAUUAGGCUUUUGCAUUGAAUUCCAAAGUAUUGGUAAGUCUAGCACAUACCAUGUAAUCUUCCUAAACUGUUGUGGGUACAUUUUUUUUAAACCUGUCUGUCUAUGUAUGGCACAUGCAGGUCAUUUCUUGAGUAAUACAGGAUGACCUAAAAAAUUCAUAGUUAGUAAAUCUUGAAAAAUUACGGUGCUUUCAAAAGUUACUCCGAUUUAAAAUGAGGCCACCAAUUCUGCUUGAAAAUCAGGCACGUAAGCAGUUUUACUGAGACACAGCAAAGCCCUCAGUGUGCUUGAGUGUGAUGUGUUGGAAUGUGUUGCCUUUUUGGUUCAUUGUUAGUCCUUUUAUGUUUGCGUGUAUCUGUGUACGUCUGUGUGUUUGGUAACUAUGAAUUGAAUAGAUGACUUCUUAUUUUAUGUUUUAGGCCAAGAUUGACAGACACCUAAAUAUUCAUGACUUGAGAAUAUUCUGCAGCUAUAAAUUUUGAACCAUUGAUGUGCAAAGCAAGACCUGAAGCCCACUCCGGAAAUUAAGUGAGGCUUGAUAAGCCUGUAGAUUGCCUCACACUUGUCUGUUUACAAAGUAAACCUUACAUCCAGGGAACGAAGAGCACCACCAGCAGAAGACUUUGCAGAACCCUCUAAUUUGAUGCAUUGUUAAAUUUUUUUAAUGUGUGUGUGAAAUGUAGAAAGAUGUAAAAGAAAUAAAUUAGAGAGACUACUUUGUAUUGUACUGCCAUUCCUACUGUAUUUUUAUACUUUUUGGCAGCAUUAAAUAUUUUUAUUAAAU
rnacentral:lncRNA from 1 species